rnacentral:tRNA from 1 species
GGGGGCGUAGCGCAGCUAGAACGGCUUAUAAAAAGUGGUAAAGUAGCGCGGCUGGCUCCAGACCAGUUGGUCGUGGGUUCAAGUCCCACCGCCCCCA